CGACACUCAAAUCUCAAGUUUGGUUUUACACAGGGGGACCCUGAGCCCCAAAACUGGAGUGUGAUUCAGAGCUGGAAAGGGCCUUGGCGAUCAUUUAACCCAAUUCUUAAAAGAUGAGAAAACACUCAGAGAGGUGGAGCCACUGUCUCUGGGCCCUGGGGAAGGAGGUAUGGAGGCACCCAGCCCGCUCCACCACCAGCCCUCUCACCCUCACGCUCACAUAGGCAGCCCUCCUGCUCCAGAGGAAAAACCUGAGGCCCCGAGGCGGCAAAUCAGUAGAAAAACAGAGACCCAGAAGAAGGAAAGGACUUGCCCAAGGUCACGCAGACGAAGUGCAGGAAUAGGGUUUUAUGCCACAGCUUUGAAAGGAUCCCAUUGGGAGAGGAAGACUGGGUCGUACACUUGUUUGCUGAGGACACUUGCAAAACGCUCAAGGCUAAGCCAAGUGAGGCAAGUAACUGAAACUAAAGAUGGAGACUUUAACUAAAUAACCCACUAAACCAGGUUUGACCACAUAAAAAUGAAAAAUUUCUGUACAGCAAAAUAUACCAGGAGCAUACUUGAAAG